rnacentral:rRNA from 1 species
UACGUAGGGGGCAAGCGUUGUCCGGAAUCAUUGGGCGUAAAGAGCGCGUAGGCGGCCCUGUAAGUCCGCUGUGAAAGUCAAGGGCUCAACCCUUGGAUGCCGGUGGAUACUGCAGGGCUAGAGUCCGGAAGAGGCGAGUGGAAUUCCUGGUGUAGCGGUGAAAUGCGUAGAUAUUGGGAGGAACACCAGUGGCGAAGGCGGCUACCUGGACCGGUUCUGACGCUGAUGCGCGAAAGCGUGGGUAGCAAACAGG